CUGCGCUGCGAGCUUCCCCCAGCAGUGCCCUGCCACUCUGCACCCCCAACCCCCAGGGCCGGCUCCCUCCCAGGCCUUCAGCAUCGAGACCCACAACGCCACCGUCUUCGAGGGCGACGCCGACGCACAGUUCGGGUACCGGGUCGUCCAGAUGCGCUCAAAGGACAGCUCCUGGCUGGUGGUCAGCGCCCCCCUGGCGGAGAAUGGGACGGGGGCCCUGUAUCGCUGCUCCUAUCAUGCGGGGGCCUGUCAGUCUGUCCCCCUGCCUGACACUCCCCCCGUCUCCCUGGGGCUGACGCUCGCCUCCGACGAGAUCUCCGGGUCCCGAGUUGUUG